GUAACAAGGUCUCCGUUGGUGAACCAGCGGAGGGAUCAUUACCGAAGUUACCCUUCAGGACCCACUGUGAACCAUACCUCUUGCCGCGUUGUCUCGGCGGGAGGCGCUGGGCCUCACGGCUCCGCGUCCCCGCCGGCAGCGCCAAACUCUAAACUGCAAAGCGUACUGCAUGUUCUGAUUUACAAAAAAAACAAGUUAAAACUUUCAACAACGGAUCUCUUGGUUCUGGCAUCGAUGAAGAACGCAGCGAAAUGCGAUAAGUAAUGUGAAUUGCAGAAUUCAGUGAACCAUCGAAUCUUUGAACGCACAUUGCGCCCGGCAGUAAUCUGCCGGGCAUGCCUGUCCGAGCGUCAUUUCUGCCCUCGAGCGCGGUUAGCUUGCUAUCCGCUGCCCGGUGUUGGGGCGCUACGGUCCAGGGCCUCGUGCCCUGUCCGUAGGCCCCGAAAUGAAGUGGCGGUCCCGCCGCGGCGCCCCCUGCGUAGUAGUCUUACAACUCGCAUCGGGACCCGGUGGAGGCCAGCCGUCAACCCAUCUUUCUAAUGGUUUGACCUCGGAUCAGGUAGGGUUACCCGCUGAACUUAAGCAUAUCAAUAAGCGGAGGAAAAGAAACCAACAGGGAUUG
rnacentral:misc_RNA from 1 species